rnacentral:misc_RNA from 1 species
GGGCUAUAAGGAAAAGAUGAUAAGAAUAUUCAGAAUUUUGAUUUCUGACAAAUUAUUCGUUAAGGUAAUGCAGGGAAACAUCCAAGGGCUACUCGGAUACUGGGCAUUUGCUCUCGAAGGCCUUCUGCUCCUCACGACAAAAGUCAAACUCAUUUGUGUGGUAGUACAUGCAGCCAGCAUAAUCAUCCAUCUCUUUGGUACAUCUCUGGUGAAGAUCUUUUAACAGAUUGAGGACGCAGUGGGUGACGGCGCGGCCCUUGCCGAGGCAUUUCUCGGGGUUCGGGUCCUUCUUCUUGCAAUUGAUAAAAGCCAUGUUCUCCGGACGGCACCUGACGGCGAUGUGCUUCGACGCCGCCAUCAGGACGGCCGACGUCGGGAUCGGGUCGCCGGACGCGUCGAAGUUGCUCGACAUCGCGGAUCGCCGCCCUCGGUUCGAGCUCGAGAGAUGGGAGUGGCGGGUCUGGGGUGAGGCUUCAGCGGCG